GUCCCGGUGGAUGUCUUGGUUACAACGACGAUGAAGAACGCUGCAAAACGCGAUAUGUCAAGUGACACGCAACUGUAUACGUGAAUCUUUUAAUCUUUGAACGCAAAUUGCGGGUGU
rnacentral:rRNA from 21 species